UACGGAGGGUGCAAGCGUUAUCCGGAUUCACUGGGUUUAAAGGGUGCGUAGGCGGGUUGGUAAGUCAGUGGUGAAAUCUUCAAGCUUAACUUGGAAACUGCCGUGGAUACUAUCAAUCUUGAAUAUCGUGGAGGUAAGCGGAAUAUGUCAUGUAGCGGUGAAAUGCUUAGAUAUGACAUAGAACACCAAUUGCGUAGGCAGCUUACUACACGAUCAUUGACGCUGAGGCACGAAAGCGUGGGGAGCAAACGGG
rnacentral:rRNA from 1 species